rnacentral:rRNA from 1 species
UAAAGCCUACGGGGGGCAGCAGUGAGGAAUAUUGGUCAAUGGGCGAGAGCCUGAACCAGCCACGUCGCGUGAAGGAUGACGGCCCUACGGGUUGUAAACUUCUUUUGUCAGGGAGCAAUUGAGUCCACGUGUGGUCUUAGCGAGAGUACCUGAAGAAAAAGCAUCGGCUAACUCCGUGCCAGCAGCCGCGGUAAUACGGAGGAUGCGAGAGUUAUCCGGCUUUAUUGGGUUUAA